GUCUAAUUUUCUUCUUCUUCUUAUCCCUUCCCACCGCUCCCCCAUUCCAUGGUGGCCGCCCCUCACUUCCAUUCCUUUCGUCCCCGCCGCCGGCGCGAGGCCUCACCUGCUCUCCCCACUGCUUCCUCUCCCCGGCACGCAGUCGCACGCCGCAUCCUCUCCCGCCACAUCGUCGCCCAGCGCAUCCUCUCCCCCUCCCCACGGCCUUGCGCCGCCGCCUCCUCUCCCCACCAUAACCUCGCCUUGCCGCUAACACCGUCGGCCUUCCCUAGAUCGACUCUGCCGUCGCCGUACACAUGUCCCAGCGCAGAUCCAGAUGCGAGCUAGAGGAGCGUGCUGGACACGAUGCGGGAGCAGGCAUCUCGGAGCGGCCCGAGGUUCAGUGCGUCUCGUGCCCCUGUGAUAGUCGGCCUCGUGCUUGGCUCCCACAUUCAAUCCGGGAAGGCGCUCGCAGCUCGCUUACGUGCUCGACUACUCCAGUUACUUGAUGGAUUCAGGCUACUAUAAGAAAUGGCAACUUGGGGCAUGACUUGCAAGAAAGGGAUUCUAUGACAGAAUGACAUUGCUUCAUGGUUUCGGGGUAUGUAGAGAAUGUGAUGUUUAGAAAAAUCUGGGCAACAGCAGCAUUUCCAAGGUGACAAAUAUGUUCUUAUUUUGGCUUGAGACAUUGAAGAGGGGAUGUCUGGCCAUGAAGCCACCUUAUUGUGAUCGCCAUUGUAUAAUGUCUUUGUUGGGGUAUCUGCUUCUUUCAUGCUUGGAAACAUUGAUGAGGGGAUGUCUGUCCACAAAAUAUGUAAAUACCUCAGGAGGAGCACGGGCAGACGAGUUCCAGCGAAGACAGCAGAGGCGAGAGUGGAAGCUUGCGGCACGGCAAUGUCGAGCCUAAGUCAAGCCAGACUGAAAGUAGAUGAGGUUAGUGCCACCAGAACACUUAAAUUCUAGUCGAAUCAUUGCAUCUAUUUUUUCCUUGUCAAUAAUGGUGUUUAAAUAUGAUUCAAUUUGUCGCAUAUAAAUGUUGUAAAUUUCUUGCUCAAAGUAAACUUUGAUAUACUACUUGUUUGGAUAUUCCAAAUCGCUGAUGAUACAUGUCAUUUUUUCAUUACAGGUACCAGUGUUCAUAGACAUGUUGAAGGAUGUCGUAUAUGGUAACAGUUAACAAAAAUACCUGAUGUAAAGCUGAC